GUUACAUGUUUUCUGAUUCACACUUUAAAUGUCACUUAAGAGCCAAGGAAAUACCUGAAGAUCAAAAUAAAAAUAAAAGGGUGAGGAAUCAGUCAAACGACAACAGUAUAGCAGAACCAACACCAACAAAACCAGUUCAAACCAGAAACAUUGAUGCGAAGCAGUAAAAUAAAACAGUAUCAAUCGAAAGUGUCCAUAGUAGCUUCAAACCAAACUUUAGAAGACCCAAUUCAAUCCAUUUCCACACUCAGAUGAGUCAAAAAUUGUUUCAGAAAUUGAAAAAAAAAAUCACUGAAGAAGUUCAAUGAAACAGUAAAAAAAAACUUCAGCCGUUUGUACUUUCCUAGAUUUUAUCCCUUCCUCUCUACCUUGAAUGCCAAGUUAGAGGGCCUUUAUAGGCAAGCCAUUUAGGGCAGCUGGAUGAGAAUCAGAUUUGCACCUAGACCCUCUUUUAAUUUUCAUUAUAGCUUAGGAGUCCUUACGUUAAAAUUCAGAAAUUCCCUUAGGUCCCUUCCCCAACUUCCAAGAAGUUUCCCCAGGCAGUUACACAGAGAUUCCCCUAUCCAAUUACCUAAAUUACCCUUUAAACAUCUACCAUUUACCUUCAUAAACCAAAAACAGAUAUGGGUCAUCUUAAAACAAAAACCUCACCCAACCCAUGGGCCUGAAUACUAUAGCCCAAACUUGAAUUUCCAACUCUGAACUUAAUCAGAACCUUUUAAACAAACAAACCUUUCAAUAGAGAUGCUCGGAAACAUUAAUUUAAAGCAAUUGAACCAACUAAUCAAUCAAAUUAUACCAUGACAUUGAUACGCUAAUUCCUAUUUCAUUAAACUUACAAAUAAACUUAAAUUAAAGAGAAGGAAGAUUCAGAAUCACAAACAUGCACACAAAAUGACUUAAAAACAUUUAAAAGACAGAAAAGUGAAGAAACCGAAGGAGGCGAGUACACGAACAAAACAGAAGACGGAGACGAAGGAGAAAAGAACGAGAAUACCUAGAUGGCCACACGGACAGGGCACGACAACCUCAGGCGACUUCGAUUUGACUAGAAACUGGUAUUACCCGCAUUUUCCCUUUGAGAACAAAUGAACAAUACUAGUUUCAAGCCGCAUCGAUCAAAGGAAAACUCGAAAGCUUGUAGGAUUUUUUUUCUUCUUUUUUAGAUUUGAAAUUGACCCAAUUUAGUGAGGAUUUGGGGGGAAACUGUGGUGGAUUGGAGUUUAGGGAGGGGUGAUGGUUGCAUGGCCAGAUUUUGGUGGUGGUUGGAGCUAUCUCGCUGGUGAAAAUGGCGGAAUCGCUCAGAGGCGGCAUUAUCUGAUGAAGGAGAUGAGAGAAGGGUUUGUU
rnacentral:lncRNA from 1 species